UGGAUACUAGGUGUGGGAGGUAUUGACCCCUUCCGUGCCGGAGUUAACACAAUAAGUAUCCCACCUGGGGAGUACGGCCGCAAGGUUGAAACUCAAAGGAAUUGACGGGGGCCCGCACAAGCAGUGGAGUAUGUGGUUUAAUUCGAAGCAACGCGAAGAACCUUACCAGGUCUUGACAUGGGGAUGACCGGUACAGAGAUGUACCUUUCCUUCGGGACAUCCCACACAGGUGGUGCAUGGCUGUCGUCAG
rnacentral:rRNA from 1 species